rnacentral:lncRNA from 1 species
CCUCAUAGACCGCUAUUUUUACGGGAUGUUAGUCAAAACGUCCCCUAGUCAGAACGUCCCCUAGUCAAAACACCCCAUUUUGGUCAAAACGUCCCCCUUUUCUGGUCAAAACACCCCCUUUCCAAAAAUUACCAGGUUAAAACACCCCCCUUAAAAAUUAUAUAUGUAAAUACAUAUUAUUUAAGUUAAUUUAAUGAUUUAAUUCAAGAAGUUUGUAAACAGGUAUCUAAAAGUAUAAUUGCACAACAAUUAAACAAUGUGGAAAAAGUUAUAUAACUAUUAAAAUUAAUGAAGGUUUCCAAACAGUCUAUUAAUCCUAAUCUGCAAGCAAUCAUUUGCAGUGAUUGAUGUUUAAAUAACUUUGAAUUUGAUUGAAAAAAACUUGUCUUUAAUCUAAAAUUUUGCAUCAAUUAAAGUAAUAAAGUAAACUGAAAUUUGCAAGUGCUUUAUAAUCAUCCUUAAUAUUUAUUGCUUUAAUUGAUUAAUUAGUCUCUUUUUUUUUAUUUUUAUUAAUUACGCUUCAAACAUUUUUUUUCAUGCUAUAAAGUCUACUGAAAAUUAUAUUCAACCUGUAAUUUUCUUAGUAUCCUAGUGUAUGUAUACUGUCUGUCUCUGUGGAUAGUGUGUUGGAUUGUUAUUUGUUUAAAUAUCAGUGCUUUAAUAAGAUAACGUAAUAAUGGAGUGUCCUUGCAUUAAGUGUAGGAACGAAGUAAGACUGCGCCAACAGGCCAUUGCCUGCGACUCGUGUACGCGGCAACUGGCAACACAGAACCUGUAACACAGGUAUUUCAGCAGCAGCAUGCAGACAGGCAGUCCGUGAUGAGUCUGAGCUGAAUUUCAUUUGUGAACCGUGUAAAGAUCAAAUACCCCCACUGAUGAAGUUGCAGAAGAGCAACUACCGCACAGGGGGUAUGUCUGCAAGUUCCUUGCUAGAAAAGAAGAGUGCUCACCAUUUACAAACCAAGGCUCACCACAACAGUUCAGUAUGAGGAAUAAUUGUGAUAAAAACAUUAACUAGCAGAAAGUGAAUUUGACUUCUUCAUAUUGUGUAGCUGGAACACUGUGAAUUAAUAUUGUGACAUGAUAUUGUGAAUUUGACUUCUUGGUGUAGAACAG